AUAUAUACACAUUUACAUAACAUACACACCACAAGGAGGAGAUAGAGGGCACAUGGACACUGCUCAGUGUGACAUCUGAAGAAGCCAGAGGAGCACAUGGGGACUCAUUAGUCUUGCAGAGCCACAGUAAAGACUAUCCUAGGAGGACCUUUGAUGUACAGCAACAAGACAUGGUUCCAAUUAUCCGGACUCAAACUUUGGGCUUUUCUGUGACUCCUGCCAGACAGCCUCGAUUGGAGACAAACAAUUUCCCCUGGAGAACAUGAUAACGAGAUGCUCUGAAUUCCUGCUCCCUGUUCCAAGGACACCUGUUGAGACUCUACAAGCUUACACACACACACACACCAUGACUUUGUGUGCUUUUACCCACCGGUGUGGGUAGGCGGGGCUGUGACCAGCACCCCCUGGCUGCAGGACUAGAUGGCUGCUGCCUUUAUCAGACUAUAUCCCCAUCCCCUGUUGCGAUGUU